UUUGAGGGUGGUGGAGAAGAGGGUGGCGGUGGUGAUGCAUAAUGGUAAGGUGGCACAGGUGGUGGAGGUGAAGGUGAUGGUGGAGCCUUAUAGUGGACUGGUGGUGGUGGAGGUGGAGAUGGUGAUGGUAGUGGUGGUGAAGGAGGUGGUGGAGAAUUAGAGUAUAGCGGUAUUGGCGGUAGUAGAGAAGAUGGCGGCGGCGGUUCUAUGCACGAAGGUGGUGAUGGUGGCGGGGGUGGCUCAAUACAUGGUGGUGGAGGGGGAGGUGAAUUAGGUGGUGGAGGUGGCGAGAAUAUUGGAGGUGGUGGCAGGGAAUUAGGUGGUGGAGGCGGUGAAGGCUGAGAUGGUGGUGGAGACAGGUAAGGCGGCAAUAGAGAAUAAUGCAGGCUGGGAGGUGGAGGAGGUGG
rnacentral:lncRNA from 1 species